UUAAUUUCGGUAUUUAAAAAAACAAUCUUUUGUUUUUUGAGUUGAGGUGUACCGCUCACAUUAAUGGUGGAAAAAAUACUGCAAUGAUUGAUCUUUGUGAAUGAGUUAAUGACAAAAACAGGGGUGGGUGAACCUGUUUUCAUAUCUACGACAAGACUCGCAAUAACUUUUUUUUUCUUUGCAGAGCAGUUUUUCUAAUCAAUGAUUUAAUUUGAAAACUAAUUUACUAAUUUGGAGUCACAAUUUUGCAGAUUAAUUGUAGAGACCUGGAGCAAGGGGUUUAUGAAACAACAAAGACACGAAUGAACAAUUGUUUAGGUGUUGUUGUUUGUUGAUUUGCCCGUACGGCCCGUCUAUUUGCGAGUCUGUCGAACCACGUGACGGGCGGCCCCGUCGCCGAUUAACCUUUCAGUCACAACACGUCCUUGAUAGCUAUCAUCUGUUCAUCACUCCAUCCAUCCGUCUGUUGUUUGUCCUUUGAGAGGCUUUAUAAAUGCAUUUAUCCAUCAAUCCAUUUUCUAUCCCACUUAUGCUCAUGGUCGAGGAGUCGGGUACACCGCGCACUGAUCAACAGUCAAUCGCAGAGGCGCCGUCAAAAUUGUUCGAAUUUGAAUGACAUUGUUCAAGUCAAGUCAGCUUUAUUGUCAAAUAUGCGCUAUGUGCAACAUAGAGCACAGAUGAAAUUUAUUUCCUCUCAACAACAGUGCAACCACAGGAGAGAGAAGAUAUUCAUUGAUAGACAUUCUCACCAUUUUGUCUUUUUUUUCUGACAAGAUGAAUCGAACCUCAGUUGGUACAUCACAUCAUGAGCAAAAUUAUUUGAUCUUGUGGUUGUUUCUCAUCCUGUGGUUUUAAACUUGUCUCACUGGGACCCGGACUUUCCAAUUGUGGCUUGGUCAUCUUGUUUUUAUACAUGCUGUAUGUAUUUCACAAUGUAUGCAAACAAAAAGGCACCAGGAAAUUGUCAUGUGGCAGAACAUGCCUUGAACCUGAAAAUGACCUCAACUGAAACAACUUAUGUUUGGGGUUGUGCUGCCACAUAAACCCAGAAGGUUUUUUUUCUUGAAAAACCAAUACCAAACAAAAAACCAAUACACUAAUACGUUACAAAAUUAGCUACAGUGGAAAUUCAAACCUUUAACAUCAUUGUACGCAAUUGUACAGCUACAACGAGCAAAGCAAGGAGUAUUUCACUUCAAAAGCGAUUUACUGUAAAUCAAACCUCCAAAUCAUAAUGGCGGGGGGGGGGGGGGGCAGCACGGUGGUCGACUGGUUUGCAUGUCCGUCUCACAGUGCAGAGGUCCAGUGUUCGAAUACGAGCUCAAGCCUUCCUGUAUGAAGUUUACAUGUUCUCCCUGUGCCUGCAUGGCUUUUCUCUGGGUAUUCUGUUUUCCUCCCACAUUCCCAAAACAUGAAUGGUAAGUUAAUGGGGCACUAUAGAUCGUCCCCUAGGUGUGAUUGUGAGUGUGAAUGGUUCACUGUGAUGGGCUGGCAACCAGUUUGAGGUGUACCGCGCCAACUGCCCGAAGACGGCUGCGAUAGCCUCCAGCACACCCGUGACCCUCGUAAGGAUAAGUGGCUCGGAGAAUGAAUGAAUAGAUGAUGGCUAGGGUGCUCGCUUGCUCAUGACAGCGCUAAUUUAAGCAGUGCUAGUGCAUUCAGUUCAUUUCACUGUCAAACAAGCAUAGGUGCCAUUAAUCCGCGACCCAGAAAAAAGAUUUCAUAAGCAAUGAUUGCCUUCUUAGUGUAGGCGUUCAAAAGAACGUAUGGCAGAGUGAUGAUGUAAGAAGAGACCGGGUGUAUAUAUAUUGCAUUGUGUAAAUGAAACUGGGGCCAAACAUUCUCACUCCCCAAAA